rnacentral:misc_RNA from 1 species
AACUUUCAACAACGGAUCUCUUGUUUCUGGCAUCGAUGAAGAACGCAGCGAAAUGCGAUAAGUAAUGUGAAUUGCAGAAUUCAGUGAAUCAUCGAAUCUUUGAACGCACAUUGCGCCCGCCAGUAUUCUGGCGGGCAUGCCUGUCCGAGCGUCAUUUCAACCCUCGAGCCCCUCCGGGGGGUCGGCGUUGGGGGUCGGCCCUCCCUCGCGGGGGCCGGCCCCGAAAUCCAGUGGCGGUCUCGCCGCAGCCUCUCCUGCGCUGUAGUUUGCACAACUCGCACCGGGAGCGCGGCGGGCCCAUGCCGUGAAACCACCCAACCUUCUGAAAUGUUGACCUCGGAUCAGGUAGGAAUACCCGCUGAACUUAAGCAUAUCAAUAAGCGGAGGCU